AUAAUAGUUCCUCCAUCCCAAAAAUCUUGUCUUAGAUUUGUCUAAAUACAGAUGUAUCAAGUCACAUUUUAGUAUUAGAUACAUCUGUAUCUAGACAAAUUUAAGACAAGAAUUUUGAGACGAAGGGAGUACUAA
rnacentral:pre_miRNA from 1 species